rnacentral:rRNA from 1 species
CACGUAGGGUCCGAGCGUUGUCCGGAAUUACUGGGCGUAAAGGGCUCGUAGGCGGCCAACUAAGUCGGAUGUGAAAUCCCCAGGCUCAAACUUGGGAACUGCAUCCGAUACUGGAUGGCUUGAAUUCGGGAGAGGGAUGCAGAAUUCCAGGUGUAGCGGUGAAAUGCGUAGAUAUCUAGGAAGAACACCCGUGGCGAAGGCGGUUCUCUGGAACGCAACUGACGCUGAGACGCGAAAGCGUGGGGAGCAAACAGG